UACAGAGGGUGCGAGCGUUGUUCGGAAUUAUUGGGCGUAAAGGGCGCGUAGGCGGUGUUGUAAGUCACCUGUGAAACCUCUGGGCUUAACUCAGAGCCUGCAGGCGAAACUGCAAUGCUGGAGGGUGGGAGAGGUGCGUGGAAUUCCCGGUGUAGCGGUGAAAUGCGUAGAUAUCUGUAGGAACACCAGUGGCGAAGGCGGUCUCUUGGGGCAUUCUUGACGCUGAGGCGCGAAAGCUGGGGGAGCAAACGGG
rnacentral:rRNA from 1 species